UUGGUGAGUUACAGGUGGGGAGGAAAGAAGUAUCUGAAGGACAGAGGAGAAGACUGAAGAAUAAAAAAAAACUGCUGAUUCUGAAAUGUCAUCGUGUUUCAGUGUAAGAAAAAAUAGGCUACCUGCAAGUUCAAGAGACAAUGACGAUCGAACAUUUACCAUGGGAGAAGAGGCAUCCAGUACAGAGACAAGGUCAUCGCCAGAUCCAGUUGUUUACUGCCUGUUUGGGGGAGGAUCUUUCUUGGAUACACUGGACUGUCCAUUUUGCUAUUUUGGUAUAUUAUAGAUUUGACUUACUUGCACUAACGCAUUAGGAUUCUGAACUAAAAGGUUAUUAUAAAAGUUAUUUGUACAUUAUAUAAGAACUAUAGAGUAAAGUUUCCAACCCAAUUUUUGAUGGAACAUGUUUGAAAUUGUUCAUUUCUUCAUAGGGUUUUUAGUCAAAUAGAUUUCACAGCAAUGUUUAAGUUUGUAGAACAGAA